CCUGGCCCGUGGCCUCUGGGAUCUCUGACUGGUGGUGUAGGAAUUUGCCUGGUUUAUUUCGUGAAUGCUGCCGCACACGUGGCAGGACAUGUUUCAGGGGUCUGAGGCAGGUCUUUGAAGGUAAUGGCAUCCGAGUUUGAUGAUAACAUGAACACAUCGCAACAUCAGGAAGACGAGGUGGACUUCAUUCGGCCUGGAGGUACCCUGGACUUCUGUCACCUCCAUGAGGGCCCCUCUCAGGUUGUGCAAGAGCCAAAGAUUGUGAUAAGGGAGCCACAGGCACAGACCCAACCCAGGCCAGAGGAGCUGGACCCGAGGAGGCAAGAGCAUAACCCAGAACAAUGCACUCAGAGUCCAGGGAGAGGAGGGGUGGCCCGGCAGCCAGAACGAAACCUCUGAGCUGUGUCUUGAAUCGAUAAAAGAAAAGACCUGGCAGAGGCGGGCACUCACCCCUGCACCAGCUCUGAAGAAAGGAGUAGUAAACAGAUGAACAGCCCAGCUGGUGUGGCUCAGCGGUUGGUUGAGCGUUGACCCAGGAACCAAGGGGUCGCUGGUCCUGUUCGCGAUGAUGUUCCUCUCUCAUCAAUGUUUCUAUCUCCCUAUCCCUUUCCCUUCCUCUCUCUAAAAAUCAAUAAAAAUAUAUUUAGAAAAACAAAAUAGAUGAACAGAGUAAACCAGGUCAGGCAGGCAGAACCUAUCUAUGGCUGAGAGAUUAAACACUUCUUCAGCUUUCCAGCAAGUGAACUAUUUGAAUGUUAAUAUGAAAUCCCAUGAGUUUUCUAUUUAUGAAAACGGACCAUGUAGGACCUUUUGGCGACACUUGCUGAACACUUCUAGCAUCUGUGUGCAGGGUCUGAGCUUUCUAAGCUACAGGUCUUGCCUUUUAACUCCACAAGGUUGAGGGGCCAAUGAUAAUUUGGCUUCCAGUUGUGUGUGUGUGUGUGUGUGUGUGUGUGUGUGUGUGAGAGAGAGAGAGAGAGAGAGAGAGAGAGAUUGAGAUUUUCCUAUGGAAAAGUCCUUGCACCAUCAUUACUUAGUUGAUUUUCCCUCUGGUGACCGGGAAGCUCAGAGCUGAAUUUGGUGUCCAGACAAGCCCAACCUGGUUAUGUUGCAAUUAUCUUUCAGUUAUUCUCAAUUUUCUGGUUUGUUGAUGCCUAUGGGAAUUUGAUGGAAGCAAAGAGGAACCCCCCCAGGAAGCUUUCACAUACUAGUAUUCUCACAGAGUAUAGACAUAGAGUGGAUUCUGAUGGCUUAUUUUGGAAAAUUUCAACUACCCUAUUUUAUGUUUUAUUUGUGUUACUUUCUGCUGUUCAAAAUGCUGAUGUACAUAACGACUUCAAGACAGAAGAGACUGGACCCUGUGGCCGGUUUGUUUGUUUUAGGCGAAGGAGAAGCGCUAGUCUACACUUUCUGAGGAAGAGCAUUUCUCCGGGAGGUAUCACAGUUUAGUCCUCCAGCAUUGGGGGAAAGCAUGGGACUAAAUGGAAGCCCUGCUAUCACCAGCCAGUUCUGAACAGAAAUUUACUAAUCCCCUCCCUUCCUGUGGGUGGUGGGAGAUUAAAUGAAAGACUCAGUAUUGGCGGCGCUGGCUACUCAGUAACGCAUGUGCAGAGGAGGGCACCUGGAGAGAGUGGUUCCUCAGGAUCCACCACUGUUAGCACGCAGGUUCAACCAUGACCGAGGGAUGGACAUGCCAAGGCCACCCCCUUGCCUCGCACAGCAAUUGCCGCUUGCUGAUGACCCAACAAUGUGGUGCCUCCAUUUGUUUCUUGCUGUUCCAAGAAAAAGGUCUACGUUUAGAUAAGGCUCCAACCGUGGCCUUACAAAAAAGACCAAUCCCAGAUGGAAAAGGCAGUUCCUUCAAUAUAACAUUGAUUAUUUUGGUGAUUGAAUCGUUUCUUCUUUGCAUAAAGAAUUCAUGAGAAGAUGUGAGUGCAGUGCUUUCCUCUGCACACUUGCUUUCCAUUACGUGGAUCUUUCAUGCUGGAACGGAUUUGCAGCCCCGCCAAAGCGGAGAGUGUUGCUGGCGGAGAGAUGUUCACGGUCUGGUGUUAAUGCAAAAAUGAGAAGACCCGUGGCACUGUUGCAGAUUAUAAAAAUAACAGACUCACUAUAUACAACUUGCACAAUACAGAAAUGUAUAAAGAAGAAAAUAAAAUCACCAUUAACCCAUGCUCCAGAGGUAGCCACCAAUAAUAUUUUGAUGAAUUUCUUGCUUUUGGUAGGUAUGCAUUUGUAUGUUUGCAUAUAUAUGAAACAA